GGUUCGAUUAUGGCUCCAGAUUGAACGCUGGCGGGAUGUGCUUUACACAUGCAAGUCGAACGGCGGCACGGACUUUGGUCCUGGUGGCGAGUGGCGAACGGGUGAGUAAUGUAUCGGAACGUGCCUAGUAGCGGGGGAUAACUUCGCGAAAGCGUAGCUAAUACCGCAUACGCCCUUCGAGGGGAAAGCGGGGGGACCUUCGGGCCUCGCACUAUUAGAGCGGCCGAUAUCGGAUUAGCUAGUUGGUGGGGUAACGGCUCGCAAGGCGACGUCCGUAGCUGGUUUGAGAGGACGACCAGCCAGCGUUCAAUCUGAGCCAUAAUCGAACC
rnacentral:misc_RNA from 1 species